UGGCAGGAUGCCAGACCCUGCAAUCAAAGAAGGACACACUAAAAUGUUUGCCUUCAGCAUGUGUAAAACUUCCAUGUCUUCCCUUUCCCUCAGAGACAGGUCUUUCCUUUCAUAAGCAGCAUAUGUUAGUCCUUUACUUGCUCAUGUCCCAUUUGAGUCUCACUCUGGUUCAAUCUGGGUAUCACUCGCAUUAUUCCAGCAAACUCCCCUGUGAGGUCAACAAUGAACUCCCUGUUGCUCCAAUGGUCACUUUUCAUCACAGUCUUUCUGACCUUCCCAUUGUGUCUGACACUGCUUCAUGAGAUGGCAGUGACAAUGUUGAGUUGCAAGGCCCCUGUGACACAUGGGGCCUUGCUCCGCCUAAGUACUGUGUGUUUUCAGCAGUAACAUCACGUAGACGUGAAUGUAGCAGAGCCCCCAGUGAAGCCUCAUUUUCCCAGCCUCCACCGGGAAGGAGCACCCAGGACUCUCCCUUUGAAUUGGGCACUAUAACAUGAUGGCAACCUCCCAAAAUGGAAAAAAAAAAAAAAGCUUUAGGUGUCUUCUCACUCUCUAAAUACCAACAGAAUAUCCAGCAAACAAAAAUCAAAGACUUGUAGUCAUCAGCAGAAAGAGCCAUGAAACCCCACUGACCUCACUGAACCCCACGUUGUUACUCUUGGAAUGCUCCUAUUAAUCAGAUCCCAAAAUCUCACUUGAUCUGAAGAAGUUAAGCCCAAGGACACCCUCUCUGAAAGAAAGACAUCAAAAAUCUGAACUUGACAUCUUC